rnacentral:lncRNA from 1 species
GAGCUGAGCGUGAAGGCCUGGGCGAGCGGAAGGGUGGGAGAGAGGGGCUAGGCCGGGGAGGGAAGCGCUGGGGCCGGGGCCGGCUUUCCAGGAGCCGGCGGGAGCGGGGUGCGUAAGAGGCGGGCGAGGAAGAACCGGCGGGCAACGGGAAGGGCAGAGGUGGAUCUCUCCCUCAGCGACCCCUCUCGCCGAGUGAAGGGUCGAGGGUUUGGGGCACAAAGGGCGCAGAACGUUUUUUCCUGUGAGAGGAACAUUAAGACUCCUGGGAGGGCUGGGGCUAACGCCUCCGAGAGCCCCACCUGGUCAGCCUAGGGUUAGACGUGUAGCCAGGGUGCUGGGAGGGGGCCGCUGCUGGGCCCCAGAUAGAGGGGUAGAGGCCGCUCAAUCACGGAGCCAGGCCCCACCUGCUGUAGAAACCGCCACCGAGAGCCGGCCGGGCUUGCUGCACGCUCUGGAUUCCGCCUGCCUAUAGGCGAGGCACAAGGGACUGCGAGACCAGGCCUGAAGGCAGAGAGGUCAGCAGGCUCGGGGGCCUCUGCUCCAGCGGACAACAAGCGCACCGGGCGGGAACGGCCGCCUCCCCAGGCGCUGCAGCCUAGCUCUCAUGUGACCCACGGAACUUAGCCCCUCUGUUCUGUUUGCAUACCUGCAAAUUGUGGGCAUUCACGCCGGGACUGCCAACUCACCAGGUUAUUUAUAGUGACAAGAGAGUGAGACAGUGGGCUUGAAAGUGUUUUCCAGACCAAGGCUCUGUCCCACAUAUAGGUGGAUUAACUGUCUGGCAAAGGCAGGAAUCCAUUGAAGAGGCCAUCUCCACAUUCAGAACCAAGCUUCUGCUUUGUACUCUGGAAAAUGCCAGCCACCCAUGAGGAGAGACCACCCUGCUAGCCACAGGGAGAGGCUAUGUGAAAAGAAAGAGAUGCCUGGCCAGCUCUAGCUCUUCAGCUCAUCCCAGCUGAGCUACCAGACACAUGAGUGGAAAAGCCCUUAGGAAGUUCCAGCUCCAGCAGACACCAUACUGAACAGAGGAGAGAUAAGCCAUCCCCACGGAGCACUGCCAAAAUGACGGCAUUGUGAACAAAUAAAUGAUCAUUGUUUUAAGGCA